AUGGAGAAAUUAGGUGCAGCAAUGGAGACUAUUCCAUCAACAUGGGAAGACGCAGCCUCUGCCAAAUUUCGUACUCAGCUCUCAGGCCUCAUACAGUCUUUCAUGGUUAUGGCAACAUCUGAGAUCAUUUCAAUAUUUGACAAAGUUUUUACAGAAGCAAAGAAAGAGCUGAAGCACAGCAGGAGGGAGGUGGUGAGCCUCCAGAAACAGCUGGCGGAGAGUGAACAGAAGUUUGCACGGAUGGUUUCCUGUGUCCAGAAACAAGUGAAAAUUGAAGAUGAGAAUCUGAGUUCAGAUGAAUUAAUUGUUGUUCCCUCAAACCCCAUAAAAGCAGAGUUGGCAGACCAUGUUUCUGAACAUCUGAUGCUGGAUGAUGCAGAACUGAACCCAUCAAUUAUGACCCUUCAAGGAUCUUCACAGAGUGGAUUCUCUGAACCUGUUAAACAAUCAGACAUAGCUGAUUUUUCAUCAAGAGCCAAUAGUAACAUCAAACAAAAGAAUUUUGUGGCUGGAAAAAACAAGACAAGACGUGUGGGUUGUGCUAAGCAUGAAGCUUGUUUAGCUCUAGAAGUACCCGGUUCUAAUAAUAACCCCUUCAAGCAAUUAGGAGUGGAAUCAAGUACAGCAAAAGUGUUGCUAGCUGAGAAUCUGAAUAACGUGAAGCAGUGUGGUCCUGGUGAGGACCAGCCCACUGCUCAAUGUUGCCAAAUGAGCAGUUUUCCAUCAGGAAAGCCACUAUCCCAUAAGGAAAGCCACCAAACCGUGGCCCAGGCUAGGAGAAGAGGUCACAUGAGCAACAGACUUUUAAAGGACUAUAUAACCUGGGAGGAACUGAAAAUCUUAAGGCAGGCCUGUAAAAAGGCCUGCAACUUGUGUGGACAGUUUUACAGCUCAAAAGGUAUGGUCUUACACAGCCGAGUAGCUUCCAGAAAGAGGAGGAAAUGCCUCUGCAACCGCGAGUUUGUCACUGACUGCAGCUGGAACAUCCACAAGAAGUUUCACAGUAGAAUCAAUGAAACCCAGAGGGACAGGGUCACUUCAAGCAAGAGUCAUGCUGUGUCCCCUGACCUUGGGGCCAGAGUUCAAGUUUGUCUGGAAAGAAUUUCUUUGGAUUCUUUAGGGCCCAGUUUUAGCACUAAUGUAACGCAAUUUCCAGCUAAGGAUAAAGCGAAAGAACACUUUUAUCUGACAAAAUCUGACAGUGCAACUAGACCCAUGAUCCCGCAAUUACCUGAUGAACAGUUCUCUGGUGUUGCUGAAAUGGCAAAAGAAGGGAGCUCCAUCAAAACAAGACCAUCAAGUGAGCAAGAGGGCAAUCACAUAAACAUUCCAAAUGGAGGAAGUGACCUUUCAACCACGAUGGAGAAGAGUUCAGCCAAAAAACGAAGGAUUUCAGAAUGCACCCAUGACGUUUAUGGUAGUGUCUACCCAGUUGAGAAAAUUUUGAGGAGAAGAUUGCAUGAAGGACGGAAUGAAAUGCGGGUGAAGUGGCAGCCCUGCUCUCUGUGUGGUGCCAAAUGGAAAAACACGUGGGAACCUGCAGAAAGCCUUUCUUUGCACCAGGGAGAAACGGUGUAAUUUGUAUUUUACAAUAUUGUUGCAUUAUUGUAUGGGUUGUGGGUUACAUUUUACUGUAAUUUUAUUGAUUAAGUGCAUAAGGAAGAAAGGAUUGUGUGCAUGUUUGAAAUGAUCAAUUUUCUGAUUAUAAUCAAUAAAGGCACUGUUGUCAGUGGCA
ensembl:lncRNA zinc finger protein 235-like